CUUGAAUUUUCUCCUUUCUAGGCUUGGCCACCCCCAAUCGCACCCUCGUCUGCGCCUCACACAGCCCAGAGCAGGCUUGGCCAGGGCAGAGGAGGCUGAGCCCAACUUUCACGAGGGGUUCUCCAGGCAAGAAUACUGGAGUGGGUUGCCAUGUCCUCCUCCAGGGGAUCUUCCAGACUCAGGGGCUGAAUCUGCAUCUCUUACAUCUCCUGUGUUGACAGCAGGGUCCUGCAAAGCACAUUUCAGAAAGCUGAAGUGAAUUAAAAAGGAUUCAAGAUCUUCACCGGGUCUUGACUGGUCGUCAAGCGCAGCAGUUCUCCCAGCUGAAAACAAGAUAAGCUAAGAAGUAUAUUUUCGAAUAUUACGACUGUGUUUGCUUCCCUUAAAGCCUGGAAAGCAAAAUUAAAAUUAAGUCUGGUUUGGGUGUAAAUAAUAUAUUUAAGCUUAAAAAAAAGAAAACCUAACAACAGCGCGAGAG
ensembl:lncRNA